CUCGUAGGCGGUUCAGUAAGUCGGGUGUGAAAACUUUGGGCUUAACCCAAAGCGUGCAUCCGAUACUGCUGUGACUUGAGUACGGUAGGGGAGCGGGGAAUUCCUAGUGUAGCGGUGAGAUGCGCAGAUAUUAGGAGGAACACCGGUGGCGAAGGCGCCGCUCUGGGCCGAAACUGACGCUGAGGAGCGAAAGCAUGGGUAGCAAACA
rnacentral:rRNA from 1 species